CCUACGGGUGGCAGCAGUCGAGAAUCAUUCACAAUGGGGGAAACCCUGAUGGUGCGACGCCGCGUGGGGGAAUGAAGGUCUUCGGAUUGUAAACCCCUGUUAUGUGGGAGCAAAUUAAAAAGAUAGUACCACAAGAGGAAGAGACGGCUAACUCUGUGCCAGCAGCCGCGGUAAUACAGAGGUCUCAAGCGUUGUUCGGAAUCACUGGGCGUAAAGCGUGCGUAGGCUGUUUCGUAAGUCGUGUGUGAAAGGCGCGGGCUCAACCCGCGGACGGCACAUGAUACUGCGAGACUAGAGUAAGGGAGGGGGAACCGGAAUUCUCGGUGUAGCAGUGAAAUGCGUAGAUAUCGAGAGGAACACUCGUGGCGAAGGCGGGUUCCUGGACAUUAACUGACGCUGAGGCACGAAGGCCAGGGGAGCGAAAGGGAUUAGAUACCCUUGUAGUC
rnacentral:rRNA from 1 species